rnacentral:rRNA from 1 species
CCCUUAGAUGUUCUGGGCCGCACGCGCGCUACACUGAUGCAUUCAACGAGUUUCUUCCUGGUCCGAGAGGAAUGGGUAACCUUUUGAAAGUGCAUCGUGAUAGGGAUAGACUAUUGCAAUUAUUGGUCUUCAACGAGGAAUUCCUAGUAGACGUAGUUCAUCAGACUGCAUCGAUUACGUCCCUGCCCUUUGUACACACCGCCCGUCGCUCCUACCGAUUGAAUGUUCCGGUGAGGCUUUGGGAUCUGAGCGGAAAGAGCGUUUCGCUGUUUCUGCUCGGAAAACUCAGUCGAACCUUAUCAUUUAGAGGAAGGAGAAGUCGUAACA